rnacentral:rRNA from 1 species
UACGGGGGGGGCAAGCGUUGUUCGGAAUUACUGGGCGUAAAGGGCUCGUAGGUGGCCAACUAAGUCAGACGUGAAAUCCCUCGGCUUAACCGGGGAACUGCGUCUGAUACUGGAUGGCUUGAGUUCGGGAGAGGGAUGCGGAAUUCCAGGUGUAGCGGUGAAAUGCGUAGAUAUCUGGAGGAAUACCGGUGGCGAAGGCGGCAUCCUGGACCGACAUUGACGCUGAACGGCGAAAGCUAGGGGAGCAAACGGG